rnacentral:tRNA from 1 species
GCCCGGCUAGCUCAGUCGGUAGAGCUUGUGACUCUUGAUCUCAUGGCAGUGAGUUCAAGCCCCACUUUGGGUG